rnacentral:lncRNA from 1 species
CUGAUUGCUAUAUUCUUUAUCUGUCAUGACUAGACAGAUGACAAUCUAUGAUAGCAAUUUUGCCUUUAAGGUUAUUUUCUUUUUUCUUUUAUUUAUUUUAUUUUAUUUUUUUUAACAGACUUUAAUAAUUUUCCUCACAGAAUGACUAACAGAAAUAUGACCCUUGUGCACCUUUUGUAGUUAAUUAAUUAGGUCAACUCUAACCACUAAGCCCCUUGUCAGGUUAUUUCUAUUAGGAGCAAUUGGAAAAUAAGGAGCAAUUGGCCUUAAAACAUUGAAGCCAGGUAGAUGAGCCUAUUCCACAAGGUCUCUUGGUUCCACCCUUGUUAACCGAAAUCUGCCAGGUGUGGAUUAUUUGACCUUUGCUAUCUAGGAAGCAUGAGAAGUUGGGGGGGGGAGGAAUUGGCUCCCUAGGGGAAUUUGAGGCUCAGGUUAUCUAGGGUGCUUUUCUAUCAUGGCAAAAUGGACUCUGUGUUCCCCAGUAGGCUGGUUUUUUUCUUUAUGUUUUCUACCAUCUCUGUGAAAUAGUUUCAGAGACUCUAUGAGUGAGUUACAUUGGUGGUACAUUGGACCUUCUGUCACAGACUGGUACAAUUUGUGAUCUGUCAAUUCAGUGCGUGCAGAUUGUGUAUAGCAGACAAGUAAAAUGUGGUCCUGUCAGCCCAAGACUUCAAAAACAGUCUGAGAUACAGGUUCUUAGGAAGACAAAGGUAGUGAAAGGGUCCAAGACUGGUUAUAAGCAAGCAAGUGAGCUAGGAGAACAUAUCCUCUUACUUCUCCUCAGCCAGGCCUCCUCGCAGAGCUGCAUGAAGAGUGUGACACGAAGUUGCUUGGGGAAAAGGGACGGUGCAGAGGAAGACAGCUCAGACCAUCAUCGUGCCAAAUCCCAAGAGGAAAUCAUGGCUGGAAUACAAUUACUGCCAGUGAUCCACAUCUUUGCCUCUGCAGACCUGGGUAAAUAAUGCCUGAUCCAUGACGAGUCUGACUACUUUUUGAGGAACUGCCCUUUGCAUGUAGGGUGUUCUUGUACUGGAAGAUAUACUACACGGUAGCUACAAUAACAGCUGUUGUCCAAGAGUGAAUCCCCGAUGGAAAUUUAGCCUCGUCUUGUUUCCUUGUUCUUUUCCUUCCCGUGAAAGCAUCGCUGGUGUUGAAGCUCUGUAGAGCACGGCUGCUGUAUGACCCUGCAGCACCUCUGCUUCCUGUGUUCGUUGUCGCUCCUCCAUGGCUGAGCUCAGUACAGGUUCAUCAGUCUGAGUUGCCUCAGAAAAGCUGUACCUCCUAAAAUCAAGCCAUAAAAUUGAGCCCAUACCAAAUGCUGUGCCUUUCACAUCUGAAUGAAGAAAGGACUUCAAAGUCAGUGAGACCACUCAGAAAUGCUAAAGCUCAGCAUAUGGGGUCAGCAUUUUUAGUAUUUACCCCCUUUGAAAAUGUCUAUGCUGAUUUAUGUUUUGAAACACUGUGAAAAAGAAGCUCGCCCCGCACCCAGAGCCAUACACCAAAAUAUUUUGAAUAGCAAGGGCAGCAGAACAAGUCAGUCAUGCUAACCUUGCACUACACAGACAUCUGUGAAAAUUUCACGCUUCCAUGAGCAGAUUCUCCAAAGGGCUGAAUUUGGCUGUAAGUCUCUCAGAGAAUGAUUCCAUUCCUCCUGUGCUUUUUUGGAGGUAUGUUUUUAAUUGUCCUUGGCAUAAAAAUAUUGAAAGACACAAAUUAAAUAAAAUGUCUAAACAACAGGAGGGGGCA